rnacentral:rRNA from 1 species
AACGAACGCUGGCGGCAUGCCUAACACAUGCAAGUCGAACGAGACCUUCGGGUCUAGUGGCGCACGGGUGCGUAACGCGUGGGAACCUGCCCUUAGGUUCGGAAUAACUCCCCGAAAGGGGUGCUAAUACCGGAUAAUGUCUUCGGACCAAAGAUUUAUCGCCUUUGGAUGGGCCCGCGUUGGAUUAGCUAGUUGGUAGGGUAAAAGCCUACCAAGGCGACGAUCCAUAGCUGGUCUGAGAGGAUGAUCAGCCACACUGGGACUGAGACACGGCCCAGACUCCUACGGGAGGGAGGAGUGGGGAAUAUUGGACAAUGGGCGAAAGCCUGAGCCAGCAAUGCCGCGUGAGUGAUGAAGGCCUUAGGGUUGUAAAGCUCUUUUACCCGGGAUGAUAAUGACAGUACCGGGAGAAUAAGCUCCGGCUAACUACGUG